AUUGAACGCUGGCGGCAGGCCUAACACAUGCAAGUCGAACGAGUGGCGGACGGGAGAGUAAUGUCUGGGAAACUGUCUGAUGGAGGGGGAUAACCACUGGAAACGGUCGAUAAUACCGCAUACUAUCGGAUGUGCCCAUAUGGGAGUAGCUAGUAGGUGGGGUAAAGGCUCACCUAGGCGACGCUCCCUAGCUGGUCUGAGAGGAUGAACAGCCACACUGGAACUGAGACACGGUCCAGACUCCUACGGGAGGCAGCAGUGGGGAAUAUUGCACAAUGGGCGCAAGCCUGAUGCAGCCAUGCCGCGUGUAUGAAGAAGGCCUUCGGGUUGUAAAGUACUUUCAGCGGGGAGGCGUUACCCGCAGAAGAAGCACCGGCUAACUCCGUGCCAGCCGCCGCGGUAAUAC
rnacentral:rRNA from 1 species